rnacentral:rRNA from 1 species
UAGGGAAUCUUCGGCAAUGGACGGAAGUCUGACCGAGCAACGCCGCGUGAGUGAAGAAGGUUUUCGGAUCGUAAAACUCUGUUGUUAGAGAAGAACAAGGAUGAGAGUAACUGUUCAUCCCUUGACGGUAUCUAACCAGAAAGCCACGGCUAACUACGUGCCAGCAGCCGCGGUAAUACGUAGGUGGCAAGCGUUGUCCGGAUUUAUUGGGCGUAAAGCGAGCGCAGGCGGUUUCUUAAGUCUGAUGUGAAAGCCCCCGGCUCAACCGGGGAGGGUCAUUGGAAACUGGGAGACUUGAGUGCAGAAGAGGAGAGUGGAAUUCCAUGUGUAGCGGUGAAAUGCGUAGAUAUAUGGAGGAACACCAGUGGCGAAGGCGACUCUCUGGUCUGUAACUGACGCUGAGGCUCGAAAGCGUGGGGAGCAAACA